rnacentral:tRNA from 1 species
ACCUGGUUGGCUCAGUUGGUAAAGCAUGUGACUCUUAAUCUCAGGGUUGUGAGUUCAAGCCCCACAUUGGGCA